UACAGGAGAGACGGUCAUUCUUAUAUCGGGACAACGAGAUUAUAGAAGAAAAUGAAUCCCUCCACUCGUAAAGCAUUCUGCAUCCGAGAGCACAAGCGACUUCCCAUGUGCCAAAGUAGCCAAAAAAGCAUACCAGGUACACAAUAGCCGCUGUAUGGUUCAUCYAAUGCCACCUUUGAUGGGGAAAAGAUGAAUAGCAUUACGCAACAAAAUUGGAUUCCGCUAAGUGGGUAUGCAACACAGAAACCCAUCGUUGCCCGACAUAGCAACAUGCCUUCGAGAC
rnacentral:misc_RNA from 1 species